CCAGACUCCUACGGGAGGCAGCAGUGGGGAAUAUUGCACAAUGGGGGAAACCCUGAUGCAGCGACGCCGCGUGAGUGAUGAAGUAUUUCGGUAUGUAAAGCUCUAUCAGCAGGGAAGAUAAUGACGGUACCUGACUAAGAAGCUCCGGCUAAAUACGUGCCAGCAGCCGCGGUAAUACGUAUGGAGCAAGCGUUAUCCGGAUUUACUGGGUGUAAAGGGAGCGCAGGCGGCGCGGCAAGUCAGAUGUGAAAGCCCGGGGCUCAACCCCGGGACUGCAUUUGAAACUGCCGUGCUGGAGUGUCGGAGAGGCAAGUGGAAUUCCUAGUGUAGCGGUGAAAUGCGUAGAUAUUAGGAGGAACACCAGUGGCGAAGGCGGCUUGCUGGACGAUAACUGACGCUGAGGCUCGAAAGCGUGGGGAGCAAACAGGAUUAGAUACCCGGGUA
rnacentral:rRNA from 1 species